AGAGUUUGAUCAUGGCUCAGGACGAACGCUGGCGGCGUGCUUAACACAUGCAAGUCGAACGGAAAGGCCCCUUCGGGGGUACUCGAGUGGCGAACGGGUGAGUAACACGUGGGUGAUCUGCCCUGCACUUUGGGAUAAGCCUGGGAAACUGGGUCUAAUACCGAAUAGGACCGCAUGCUUCAUGGUGUGUGGUGGAAAGCUUUUGCGGUGUGGGAUGGGCCCGCGGCCUAUCAGCUUGUUGGUGGGGUAAUGGCCUACCAAGGCGACGACGGGUAGCCGGCCUGAGAGGGUGUCCGGCCACACUGGGACUGAGAUACGGCCCAGGCUCCUACGGGAGGCAGCAGUGGGGAAUAUUGCACAAUGGGCGCAAGCCUGAUGCAGCGACGCCGCGUGGGGGAUGACGGCCUUCGGGUUGUAAACCUCUUUCAGUAUCGGCGAAGCUCCAGGAUUUUUCUUGGGGUGACGGUAGGUACAGAAGAAGCACCGGCCAACUACGUGCCAGCAGCCGCGGUAAUACGUAGGGUGCGAGCGUUGUCCGGAAUUACUGGGCGUAAAGAGCUCGUAGGUGGUUUGUCACGUUGUCUGUGAAAACUCACAGCUUAACUGUGGGCGUGCGGGCGAUACGGGCAGACUGGAGUACUGUAGGGGAGACUGGAAUUCCUGGUGUAGCGGUGGAAUGCGCAGAUAUCAGGAGGAACACCGGUGGCGAAGGCGGGUCUCCGGGCAGUAACUGACGCUGAGGAGCGAAAGCGUGGGGAGCGAACAGGAUUAGAUACCCUGGUAGUCCAA
rnacentral:rRNA from 1 species